GCGAGAGUGGCGGAACUGGCAGACGCGCACGUUUGAGGGGCGUGUGACGAACGUCGUGUGGGUUCAAGUCCCACCUCUCGCACCA
rnacentral:tRNA from 1 species